UACGUAGGGUGCAAGCGUUGUCCGGAAUUAUUGGGCGUAAAGAGCUCGUAGGCGGUUUGUCGCGUCUGCUGUGAAAUCCCAGGGCUUAACCCUGGGCCUGCAGUGGGUACGGGCAAACUAGAGUGCGGUAGGGGAGAUCGGAAUUCCUGGUGUAGCGGUGAAAUGCGCAGAUAUCAGGAGGAACACCGGUGGCGAAGGCGGAUCUCUGGGCCGUAACUGACGCUGAGGAGCGAAAGCAUGGGUAGCGAACAGG
rnacentral:rRNA from 1 species